GUUGUACUCCCUUCGUCUGAAAUUACUUGUCAUAGAAAUAAAUAAAAGUAGAUGUAUCUAAAAUUAAAAUGCGUCUAGAUACAUACAUUUUUAUUAUAAGUAUUUUAGGACAGAGGGAGUAGUAU
rfam:Triticum urartu cultivar G1812 contig126643, whole genome shotgun sequence.